rnacentral:rRNA from 1 species
UGGGGAAUUUUGGACAAUGGGCGAAAGCCUGAUCCAGCAAUGCCGCGUGUGUGAAGAAGGCCUUCGGGUUGUAAAGCACUUUUGUCCGGAAAGAAAUCCUUGGCUCUAAUACAGUCGGGGGAUGACGGUACCGGAAGAAUAAGCACCGGCUAACUACGUGCCAGCAGCCGCGGUAAUACGUAGGGUGCAAGCGUUAAUCGGAAUUACUGGGCGUAAAGCGUGCGCAGGCGGUUUGCUAAGACCGAUGUGAAAUCCCCGGGCUCAACCUGGGAACUGCAUUGGUGACUGGCAGGCUAGAGUAUGGCAGAGGGGGGUAGAAUUCCACGUGUAGCAGUGAAAUGCGUAGAGAUGUGGAGGAAUACCGAUGGCGAAGGCAGCCCCCUGGGCCAAAUACUGACGCUCAUGCACGAAAGCGUGGGGGAGCAAACAGGAUUAGAUACCCUGGGUAGUCCACGCCCUAAACGAUGUCAACUAGUUGUUGGGGAUUCAUUUCCUUAGUAACGUAGCUAACGCGUGAAGUUGACCGCCUGGGGGAGUACGGUCGCAAGAUUAAAACUUAAAGGAAUUGACGGGGUCAUAGCUGUUUCC